GGGGCUGCACCGGUUUCGACGUGGGUUCGGACGCGUGGCAGGGCAUGUCGAGCUGAAUGUGCUCGUAAAUCAGAUUCAAACAAACUAACUGCACACGACGAACGUUUCGCACUCGCCGCUUAAUUGCCGGUGAGCUUUGCAACAGCAGGCCUCUGGGCUGGGCAAGGGGUUUUUAGCGCAAGCUGAAAACUCCCGGCUGCAAAGAUAACUUCAGAGGCUGGUCUCUCGCCGGGUUACUUGGCGGGGGACGAGAAAAUAGGUAACUGGCGUUCUGUAUUGCGUGUCGCUGCGCGGUACAGGAGGCGAGACUUGAUCAGACGACUACACAUGUAGAACUGUACGAAGAAGGCUUGCGGACGCGGGUUCAAUUCCCGCCAGCUCCACCA
rnacentral:tmRNA from 1 species